UGUGUGAUCCCCUAGUGUUUAGUGUUAGUACGCCAAUGGAAUGUGCUAGUAUGUUGCAUUCAUGCUCUUUAAACUUAUGAGCCAAGUUGCUAGUUUCGUUGUACCCAUCGUUACAAGCAGGCACUGCUUAGGUAAACACAGCCGCCCUGGGUUCGUAUCUCGAACUAUAUGGCUUGGCAAGAUCGUUUUGAUCGUCUGUGUGCGGGUGAAGAUGAAAAAAGCGAAUCGCCCGAGAUCAGAGUCGAUCCAAUCAGCUGGUUGAUUUGACAAUGUUAUCCCAUUUAGCAUUAUUUAAUUAUUUUAAGAAAAAAAACACCCCAAAUAAAAGCCUCGAUAUGAAUGUAUAACAUAUUCCGUACACAAAAUUCCACAAACACAGAGCUAGAGUGCAAUACAGGUUUCUUUUUUUUUUGUUGAGUCGGUUUUUUUUAUUAGUAAAGUUUUGUCACUGCAACACACUCCUCCUCUCCUUCUCCUCCUCUUUCUCUCGCAACACAACAAUGGAAGAAAGAUUUGGAAAAUGAUGAUAUUAUCUCUAGUUCGAAGGAAGGAAGAAAGAGCUUAUACUAUUGCACUUGGUUUUCAUUGCAUCAAUUCUGACAUUAUUCAAACGUGUGUGUGAGUGUGUUUGCGUGUGAGUGUAUGUGUGUAAGUUUUCCCUCUUUCCUCGUCUCGUCUCUUCGUUGGCCGCGCGUGGCACGCAUAGAAGGAACUCCCUUCCGAGGGACCCCUUUCUCCGGUGCUAGCCCUUUCACUUAUAAUGAAUUUAAUAUGUUCUGCCGUUUUUUUCUCCAUUUUCCUUUUCUCCUGUUUUACACACCAAUCACUUGUAUCUGUUUUCAUUUUUUCUUUUUUUUGCAUUUUCCAACACACAGCGCAUAAAGAGUUUGAGCUCGGAAAAUG